GAUGAACGCUGACAGAAUGCUUAACACAUGCAAGUCUUUGGCGAAGCUGUGCUUGCACAGCCUAGCCAAGGCGGACGGGUGAGUAACGCGUAAGGAACUUGCCCUGCAGUCAGGGAUAACAGACGGAAACGACUGAUAAGACCUGGUAAAGUCAGGCGGACUCAUGUCCAGCCUGAUGAAAAGAGAUGCUGCAGGAGAGCCUUGCGUCCUAUUAGCUUGUUGGUGGGGUAACGGCCCACCAAGGCGAUGAUAGGUAGCCGGCCUGAGAGGGUGGACGGCCACAAGGGGACUGAGAUACGGCCCUUACUCCUACGGGAGGCAGCAGUGGGGAAUAUUGGACAAUGGGGGCAACCCUGAUCCAGCAAUUCUGUGUGUACGAUGAAGGUUUUCGGAUUGUAAAGUGCUUUCAGCAGGGAAGAAAAAAAUGACGGUACCUGCAGAAGAAGCGACGGCUAAAUACGUG
rnacentral:rRNA from 1 species